GAUCAUGGCUCAGGACGAACGCUGGCGGCGUGCUUAACACAUGCAAGUCGAACGGACAGACAGGGAGCUUGCUCCCUUGAAGUUAGUGGCGAACGGGUGAGUAACGCGUAAUCAACCUGCCCUUCAGAGGGGGAUAACAACGGGAAACCGUUGCUAAUACCGCGUACGAUUCAUAGACGGCAUCGUUUGUGAAUGAAAGGUGGCCUCUAUUUAUAAGCUAUCGCUGAAGGAGGGGAUUGCGU
rnacentral:rRNA from 1 species